UACGAAGGGGGCUAGCGUUGCUCGGAAUCACUGGGCGUAAAGCGCACGUAGGCGGCUUUCUAAGUCAGGGGUGAAAUCCUGGAGCUCAACUCCAGAACUGCCUUUGAUACUGGAGAGCUAGAGUCCGGAAGAGGUGAGUGGAACUGCGAGUGUAGAGGUGAAAUUCGUAGAUAUUCGCAAGAACACCAGUGGCGAAGGCGGCUCACUGGUCCGGUACUGACGCUUAGGUGCGAAAGCGUGGGGAGCAAACAGG
rnacentral:rRNA from 1 species